GACGAACGCUGGCGGCGUGCUUAACACAUGCAAGUCGAACGGAAAGGCCCUGCUUUUGUGGGGUGCUCGAGUGGCGAACGGGUGAGUAACACGUGAGUAACCUGCCCUUGACUUUGGGAUAACUUCAGGAAACUGGGGCUAAUACCGGAUAGGAGCUCCUGCUGCAUGGUGGGGGUUGGAAAGUUUCGGCGGUUGGGGAUGGACUCGCGGCUUAUCAGCUUGUUGGGGGGGUAGUGGCUUACCAAGGCUUUGACGGGUAGCCGGCCUGAGAGGGUGAACGGCCACCUUGGGACUGAGAUACGGCCCAGACUCCUACGGGAGGCAGCAGUGGGGAAUAUUGCACAAUGGGCGGAAGCCUGAUGCAGCAACGCCGCGUGCGGGAUGACGGCCUUCGGGUUGUAAACCGCUUUCGCCUGUGACGAAGCGUGAGUGACGGUAAUGGGUAAAGAAGCACCGGCUAACUACGUG
rnacentral:rRNA from 1 species